CGCCGCUAGGGUUUCAUCGUAGAGCUAGCCAGAAGCUGAGAAGAUGGUGCUCAAGACUGAACUUUGCCGUUUUAGCGGAGCCAAGAUCUACCCAGGGAAGGGGAUCAGAUUUGUUCGAGCUGAUUCUCAGGUCUUUCUCUUUGCCAACUCUAAAUGCAAGCACUACUUCCACAACCGCCUCAAGCCUGCAAAGCUUGCCUGGACAGCAAUGUACAGGAAACAGCACAAGAAGGAUAUCCAUGCUGAGGCAGUGAAGAAGAGGCGUCGCACCACGAAGAAGCCUUAUUCAAGGUCCAUUGUUGGUGCAACCUUGGAAGUAAUCCAGAAGAAGAGAGCUGAGAAGCCGGAAGUUCGAGAUGCUGCUAGGGAAGCAGCUCUGCGUGAGAUAAAGGAGCGGGUGAAAAAGACCAAGGAUGAAAAGAAAGCUAAGAAGGCUGAGCUUGCCUCUAAGACUCAGAAGACCCAGACCAAGGGUGGUGGCAUGACCAAGGCUGCCAAGGGACCUAAGCUUGGUGGUGGUGGUGG
rnacentral:misc_RNA from 1 species